rnacentral:lncRNA from 1 species
CUUUCCUGGCCUAGAAGUGUAAAUGUCUGUGUCUGUUGGUGAGACAGAGGACGUGGGCGCCCGCCGAAGAGAAGGCGCCUAGGCGCUGUCCGUAGUGCUGAAAUGGUGCGUGGUGAGACCUGUCUCCCCAACACAAGCUAGAAGACAACAAAAUAGCAGCCAGGAAACGCUCUGAUAAAGCUCUAGAUAGCUGCCAGGCCGAGCUCAAGGGAGCAGAACUAAGUUACAUGAUUCUGCUGCGGAUGUAUAAGCACCACUCCAAUAAUUUAUUAUCACGGUUGGAGACUUUGACUUGUCACUUUAUGACUUGAAAUAUGGCUCCAUGGUAAAUGCCCAUAAAGCUGAUUUUUAAAAUCUGGAUAUUACAGUUCUAAUUCUCACUUAGUUUAAAAGGUAGAAUAGGCUUCUUGUUUCAUAGAUCAUUUGUGUGAAUGUUGAUUUGUUAUGUCAUUGACAUCAUACACACAUGCUUACAUUUUGAAGGUUGCUAGCGUUUCCCAUUAAUGCUUCUGAAUUGAUGCCAAAGGAAAGCAUUGAUUAUAAAUUAGGUUCCUUGGUAUUAGUUGGUGCAUGACCCUGACCCUUUUCAAGCUAUAUGAAAGGUAAUGAUGCUCUCAAAAGCCUGCAAAAUGGCUUAUUCAGGAAAGCAUAAUGGAUUAAAAAUCCAUUAGGUUCCACUUUCUUUGCUAGAUGCUGAGAUACAAAGAUAAAUGAGAUUUGGUCUCUGCCCUCGAGGAGAUACGUGGCAAAAUAAUAUGGUAAGUUCUACAAAGUUCUAUACAAACACAGAUUAAUAUGCUAUUCAUGUUUUAUUAGCCAUUGCCAAAGAAGGGAUGAAGAACUGCAAAAAGAUAAAACACAGAAUACUUGUACUUCAGGUCCUUGCCAAUAUCUACUGCCCAACUUUUACAAAAAAAAUUGCUGAAAGGCAUGAAAUAUAUGAAUGCCUUUCUAAAGCACAUGUGGAUAAUCUAUACUUCUGGAGCAUCUAUGAUUUAUUUUCAGAACAAUCCAAGUUAUUAGAAAGGUAAAUAUGUUGGUGACAUUGUUUAGAAGUUCCUCAAGCAGAAUUGCCUUUACUAUGCUUUGACAUUAUGCUCUCAGCUUAUAUACAGUAAUUCUAUGUGAAACAGUAGCCAGCUUACACAACCUGCUCUAUAUCUACUACAGAGCUGUUACUAAAGUGUUGGUCAACAUAUAACUUACUAUUUCUUAUAUAAAGAUGCCCAAGAAAUUUAGAUUUCAUAGAUAUAUCCCCAAAAGCAUUUCUUUCAAUACCAGUUUAAUGAAUUGAACUUUCAUACCUCACUUAAAUCAACCCAGGGUAAAGUGGUAUGUUCUGUUCUUACACACAAUGAAAAUCAUGUAACUAAUUAAAGUUAGCAUUUAUUUUAGCUACUAGGGAUGCCAGAGUCAAAUUAACAGCUGAAAAUGAAUAACUACAUAAGACCUUAAGCCUUUUAUAUCUUUUCUUUUUUUUUAAUCACCUUAACUACUGCAAUUUUGGUUUCUUAGGUAAUGAUAAUAUUAUUUUCUUUUAAUUAUUUGUUUUAAUGUGUGACCUCAUGUAAAUGUCCUCAUAAAAUCAGAAGUGGAGUAAAUAAAUAAAUAAAGUAAAUUUCUCUAC